UCGCCGUUACUACCUCCGGACAACAGCCUUGAAAUAAGCGAGUGAGGAGACAGAAUUUUCCCCCUUUGUAAUCCGAGGAAGAUCCGUUUUCUCUUACUGCGCCGGGUUUACUCAGAGUGCAAUAUUCCGGUUUCCUGUGCAGGUUAUCGACUCGCUCGCUACUUGGCAGGGGUUUUGCUGAAAGAUGACCGGCACUGGCAACCCUUUGCAAGCCGCUAGCUGUCUUAAUGUGACAAGUGUGGCGCGCUUGAAAGCCUGCAGCUGAACGUCUCGGCUGAAGCUCUGCAGAUUUUUCCAGUGACUCUCGGCUGUGUAAGACUUUAAAUCCCCGGGCCGGCUGACUGAGAUCGCUUGUUUUAUCGGCUUAGCACUUUAUUCAGCGGCUCAUACUACAGCACUGGGGAGUUGGAAGACGUGAUGUGAGGUUGAUUACACUCGCCCAGUGUUAAUGACUGUAGGUGUGUGGCUCAAGCUGGACUGCCUUCCCAUGCGGAGCUGUUUCAACCCUUGCAUCAGAUGCUGGAGCAUGCAUGAUAUGAGAAUGGUUAACCACUGGGGAAGUUCCAGUAUACAACCUUGCUAAGGAUCAGGGUUGGUUAUACUUGUUUUGCAUCAUUUGCCAAAAGCUGUCAGGUUGGUUUCUGACUCCUGUGAUUCCAAAAUUGGAUUUGAAGUAAAUGUGUGGAUGGAUAAUCUGAAUGGAUAUACCAGCAACCCCUGCCACAAGCACAGGAUGCUGAUGACGGCUGCAAGCAGACAAACUUGUCGAUAGGUUCAAUCUCCAUAUGACCCUAAACUGGAAAAGUCAGUAGAGAAAGCAGACAGCUGGAUCAUACAGUGCCAAUUAUAUGUUACAUAUAUCUUUGAAAGAAAAGAAAUGAGAGACGCAAAAACCAUCCAUUUCAUCCAUCUUUAAACCAUGCAAGCUUAAGGACCACAGGGGUUGAAGCCUACCCACCCCCCAUUGGGGAACACUUUAAAAGCUUGGCUGCCAGUCUCACCCACAGCUAAUAAAUACAAGACCCAUAAGUGGAUUGUUUAGAUUUUGUUUUGUACUUCAAGUACCCCGUCUUAGCUACCCGCUAAGCCACCAAUGAAGUGGCACAAUGGCUGAAGAUUAAGAGGAAGACCACUGUGCCUGUAAACAAGCAGCUGCAAAAGCUGGUGUGAACGACGAGCCAGCAAGAUUGGCUCAUUGCAAUACGAUGCUGUCAUACCACCAGCCACUAAGAGCUCAUUUCACAUGCAUCUUGGUCAUGAGCCAAACCAAACAUCCACCUCCACCCAUGGAAGAUGCCAAAGAAAUGUAAUUAAAGUCGAAAUUCCUCCCAAGCUUCAAAUUAGUUUGUUUUUUAAUGUAUAAUCCCGCAUCCAACCAAUCUCCCAGCCAAUACUCUUUAUUGAAUAAAGGACUGAGCAACUUGAGUUAGCCGUUUGACACAGAGUGAUGGAAACCAGAUGGGGAUGCAAAAACAGCAGUCACUUUCAGAUCCUCGGGGUGUUGUAGAACCCGGACUGAGUGUUAACCAGCAGAGUGCUGACAUGCAUCUUACAGCAAAUAAUCACUCACAAGUGGAGUUCAAAGGGGCCCCAUACCCCCGGGCAAUUAAUCCAGUCUCGGCAUCAGCUCCAGCUAAGACAGUGCAAAACCCCAAAGGGGUGGGCAAAGACUUAUUCUGAGUGGCAGGAAAUCAUGUUGCAUGGAAAGUUCAGUGAAGAUAGAACAACGAGCCUCUGCAUUGUACUUUUAUCUCUUGCUUCUUCCACCUUUUUGUCAGUAACACUACAACUGGCUUAUAGGUUCGAAUCCCUGCCUUGCUAUUUUUUUCUGUGGAGUUUUAAUAUUCUUCCUGUGAGAUUUCCUGUGAUAUCCAAACUUGUGCAUAUUGGAUUAAUUGAUAACACUAAAGUGGACCCAGUUUAUGAAUGUGUGUGUUUGUGCCAUGCCAGGUUUGGUUGCAUCUGAAGGUGUUGUGAUAGGCUGCACCCAAUAAUCCUUUAUAUUAAAUAGUUUGAAGUUAAUAAAUCAACUGAAUAUUCUUUAACAAAUGACACUUUUUAGUUGUUAAGAUGUUGCUCUAUGUAAUUUGAAGAACUUUCUUGGGAAAGGAGCUUGAUAAUUAUGGUAAUCAGAAUAUGCAGUGAUUAUUUUUGACCAGAUCUAUCCACCCAUCCAUUUACUAGAGGGUGCAGGUUUUAUCCUAGCAGCAUUGCUUGCAAGGCAGGAGCCAACACUGAAUGGGACUCCAGUUGUCUGUGGGGCUCACUCAAACCCAGCCAUACUGAGCUAAUUCAGAGUUGCUGAUUAACCCAACACGGAUGUCCUUGAGAUGUGGGAGAAUAAUUUGGAAUACUGUACUGUAAACUUAGAAUGAACAAAAUCAAUUGUAGGCAUAGGAUGAGAAUGAUGCUGGAAACUAUAACCUUUGUCUUUCUUGGACUUGAUGACCUGGUAAUUUUCUGGAGCUUUAGUACACAUGACAGAGUUGCAGUUUCAUAAGCAGCUAUAUGGAUAAGAACGGCCUUCUCUGCUGUCACAAGAUUAAUCAUUUGUACUCAGAGAUGCAUGCUGCUUUCAUCCCGGGGUGGGUAACAAAAGGCAUGAUUAUUUGACAAAUUAUUGGAGUCUUCUGAGCUUGGAACUGGCAAUCAAGCAUUUGGCAGCUCAUCCCACCAGCUCGCCCAACAAUGCAGUAGAUCAAAACAAUUGUUCACACAAGAGGGAGAGUACAAUGUCGUCAUUUGUUACCGACAUCAAAUCACAGAUAGUCUAGAAAAGGGCAUGCAGACACACUUGGAGUGUCGCUCUGUGAUGGAGCCAGGUGGGUUCAUCCUAUUUUUAUGUGCUUCAUUCUCGCCGGCAUUGAAUGCUCUUCUCUUCAGCCUUUGCCACUGCUUGUAAUGAAUUCCUUCAAAAGAAACCAUAAUGAGUCAGUGAAGUAAUUUAUAGAUCAAACUUCAUAGGGGUAGAAAAUCAAAUGUAAGGUACAAUCACUCAGCUGCAGUUACAUGUUCGUACCAUGCUGCACAAGAGACAAAGUGAGAAAUUUGAACAUAGCAGAGUCAGCUUUAAUUUCUUUUUCUUUUGACUUUAAAGCUAAAUGAAAACUCAAUAUGCCAACUAGACAGCCCUCUUAAAAAAAA